rnacentral:rRNA from 1 species
ACGGGUGAGUAAUACGUAGGAAUCUGCCUUGUUGAGAGGGAUAGCCUAGGGAAACUUAGGGUAAUACCGCAUAAGCCUGAGAGGGGAAAGCCGGGGAGCCGCAAGGUCCUGGCGCAAUGAGAUGAGCCUACGUCGGAUUAGCUAGUUGGUGGGGUAAAGGCCUACCAAGGCGACGAUCCGUAGCUGGUCUGAGAGGACGACCAGCCACACUGGGACUGAGACACGGCCCAGACUCCUACGGGAGGCAGCAGUGGGGAAUAUUGGACAAUGGGCGGAAGCCUGAUCCAGCAGUGCCGCGUGUGUGAAGAAGGCCUGAGGGUUGUAAAGCACUUUCAGUGGGGAGAAAGAGGCUGUUGUUAAUACCAACAGUGGAUGAUGUUACCCACAGAAGAAGCACCGGCUAACUCUGUGCCAGCAGCCGCGGUAAUACAGAGGGUGCGAGCGUUAAUCGGAAUUACUGGGCGUAAAGGGUGCGUAGGUGGUUUUGUAAGUUAGAUGUGUAAUUCCUGGGCUUAACCUGGGGACUGCGUCUGAUACUGCGAAGCUAGAGUACUGUAGAGGGAAGUGGAAUUUCCGGUGUAGCAGUG